CAUCGGUUUUUCUGAAACCGAUGUUAACUACUCCAUAGUAACAUCGGUUAUUAAAAUAACCGAUGUUAAUAUCGACUAGUUAACAUCGGUUUCGGUAAAACCGAUGU
rnacentral:pre_miRNA from 1 species